rnacentral:lncRNA from 1 species
UUUUUGUAAAGUGAUUUACUCAUGUGGGGUUUACAUGAGGGGUUUAAAGGAGCUAAAACAAUUGCAUGGUUUUAAGAAAAUGAAUGCAUCAUGAUUUCGAUAAACAUUCCUUAUGGUAUGCUUGUUCCCUUCUUGUUCACUCACUGAGUAUUGUAUUCACGUUUUAUAAAAAUUCAUGUUUUCAGAUCAGGUGACUGUUGGACCCUAGAUCGAGGAGUCCCU